UACGUAGGGUGCGGGCGUUAAUCGGAAUUACUGGGCGUAAAGCGUGCGCAGGCGGUGAUGUAAGACAGGUGUGAAAUCCCCGGGCUUAACCUGGGAACUGCAUUUGUGACUGCAUCGCUGGAGUGCGGCAGAGGGGGAUGGAAUUCCGCGUGUAGCAGUGAAAUGCGUAGAUAUGCGGAGGAACACCGAUGGCGAAGGCAAUCCCCUGGGCCUGCACUGACGCUCAUGCACGAAAGCGUGGGGAGCAAACAGG
rnacentral:rRNA from 1 species